rnacentral:rRNA from 1 species
GACGAACGCUGGCGGCGUGCUUAACACAUGCAAGUCGAACGGAAAGGCCCUGCUUUUGUGGGGUGCUCGAGUGGCGAACGGGUGAGAAACACGUGAGUAACCUGCCCUUGACUUUGGGAUAACAUCAGGAAACUGGGGCUAAUACCGGAUAGGAGCUCCUGCUGCAUGGGGGGGGAUGGAAAGAUUCGGCGGUUUGGGAUGUUCUCGCGGCUUAUCAGCUUGUUGGUGGAGUAGUGGCUUACCAAUGCUUUGACGGGUAGCCGGCCUGGGAGUGUGACCGGCUCCAUUGGCCUUGGGGUACGCCCCAGACUCCUUCUGGCGGCAUCAGUGGGAACCUUUCCGCACUGCGCGGAGUCCUGAUGCAGCAUCUCCGCGUCCUGAAUGUCGGCCUUCGGGUUGUAACCCGCUUUCGCCUGUCUCUACGCGUGUUUGCCGUUAAUGGGUAAAGAAGCACCGCCUACCUCCUU